ACGCUGGCGGCGUGCCUAAUACAUGCAAGUAGAACGCUGAAGGAGGAGCUUGCUUCUCUGGAUGAGUUGCGAACGGGUGAGUAACGCGUAGGUAACCUGCCUGGUAGCGGGGGAUAACUAUUGGAAACGAUAGCUAAUACCGCAUAACAGUAGAUGUUGCAUGACAUUUGCUUAAAAGGUGCAAUUGCAUCACUACCAGAUGGACCUGCGUUGUAUUAGCUAGUUGGUGGGGUAACGGCUCACCAAGGCGACGAUACAUAGCCGACCUGAGAGGGUGAUCGGCCACACUGGGACUGAGACACGGCCCAGACUCCUACGGGAGGCAGCAGUAGGGAAUCUUCGGCAAUGGACGGAAGUCUGACCGAGCAACGCCGCGUGAGUGAAGAAGGUUUUCGGAUCGUAAAGCUCUGUUGUAAGAGAAGAACAGGUGUGAGAGUGGAAAGUUCACACUGUGACGGUAUCUUACCAGAAAGGGACGGCUAACUACGUGCCAGCAGCCGCGGUAAUACGUAGGUCCCGAGCGUUGUCCGGAUUUAUUGGGCGUAAAGCGAGCGCAGGCGGUUAGAUAAGUCUGAAGUUAAAGGCUGUGGCUUAACCAUAGUACGCUUUGGAAACUGUUUAACUUGAGUGCAAGAGGGGAGAGUGGAAUUCCAUGUGUAGCGGUGAAAUGCGUAGAUAUAUGGAGGAACACCGGUGGCGAAAGCGGCUCUCUGGCUUGUAACUGACGCUGAGGCUCGAAAGCGUGGGGAGCAAACAGGAUUAGAUACCCCUGGUAGUCCACGCCGUAAACGAUGAGUGCUAGGUGUUAGACCCUUUCCGGGGUUUAGUGCCGCAGCUAACGCAUUAAGCACUCCGCCUGGGGAGUACGACCGCAAGGUUGAAACUCAAAGGAAUUGACGG
rnacentral:rRNA from 1 species